UACGUAGGGGGCAAGCGUUAUCCGGAUUUACUGGGUGUAUAGGGAGCGUAGACGGCCAGACAAGUCAGAAGUGAAAGCCCAGGGCUCAACCCUGGGACUGCUUUUGAAACUGCCGGGCUGGAGUGCAGGAGAGGUAAGCGGAAUUCCUAGUGUAGCGGUGAAAUGCGUAGAUAUUAGGAGGAACACCAGUGGCGAAGGCGGCUUACUGGACUGUAACUGACGUUGAGGCUCGAAAGCGUGGGGAGCAAACAGG
rnacentral:rRNA from 1 species